rnacentral:rRNA from 1 species
UGCGCAGGCGGCCGUGUGUGUGAGGCGUGAAAGCCCGGAGCUCAACUCCGGAAUUGCACCUCAAACUACACGGCUAGAGCAUUGGAGAGGGUAGCAGAAUUCACGGUGUAGCAGUGAAAUGCGUAGAUAUCAGGAGGAACACCGGCGGCGAAGGCGGCCCUCUGGAUCGUUGCUGACGCUGAGACGCGAAAGCGUGGGGAGCAAACAGGAUUAGAUACCCUGGUAGUCCACGCCUUAAACGAUGGGUACUAGGUGUUCGGGGUGUUGACCCCCUGAGUGCCGCAGUUAACGCAUUAAGUACCCCGCCUGGGGACUACGGCCGCAAGGUUAAA